GGCUUGUUGAUUUUAAUUUCAGGUCUAGCCUGCCCAAUGAUAAGUUAAAUGGCUGCGGUAUAUUGACCGUACAAAGGUAGCAUAAUCAUUAGUUUUUUAAUUGAAAGCUUGUAUGAAGGGUUUAAUGAAAAGAAUUCUGUCUCUAGAGAAGUUUACUAGAAUUUUAUUUUUAAGUGAAAAGGCUUAAAUAUUAGUAGAAGACGAGAAGACCCUAUAGAGUUUUACAUAAUCAGUAGUUUAAAAAGUUUAAGAUUAAAAUUUAUUAAUCUAUUAUUGUGUUUUGUUGGGGUGAUGAGAAAAUUAAAUAAACUUUUCUUUUAAUAUAAACACUAAUUUGUGAAAAUCAGAUCCUGAGUUUAAGAUUUGAAGAUUAAAUUACCUUAGGGAUAACAGCGUAAUUUUUUUUAGAGUUCUUAUCGAAAAAAAAGAUUGCGACCUCGAUGUUGGAUUAAAAUUAAUUGCUGGUGUAGUUGCUAGAAAAUUAGGUCUGUUCGACCUUUAAAAUUUUACAUGAUCUGAGUUUAAACCGGUGUGAG
rnacentral:rRNA from 1 species